UACGUAGGGGGCAAGCGUUGUCCGGAAUCAUUGGGCGUAAAGCGCGUGUAGGCGGCCAGAAAAGUCCGCUGUGAAAACUCAAGGCUCAACUUCGAGCUGUCGGUGGAAACUUUCUGGCUAGAGUCCGGAAGAGGAGAAUGGAAUUCCUGGUGUAGCGGUGAAAUGCGCAGAUAUCAGGAAGAACACCCGUGGCGAAGGCGGUUCUCUGGGACGGUACUGACGCUGAGACGCGAAAGCGUGGGGAGCGAACAGG
rnacentral:rRNA from 1 species